rnacentral:tRNA from 1 species
GAGGGUAUAGCUCAGUGGUAGAGCGCGUGCUUAGCAUGCACAAGGUCCUAGGUUCAAUCCUCAGUACCUCCA